rnacentral:rRNA from 1 species
GUCUCGAAUCUUUGCGGAUUAGAGCUACGGAACAAUAAGGAUUUAGUGGCGGACGGGUGAGUAACACGUUGGUACCUACCCCUUAGUGGGGAAUAACUUCGAGAAAUCGAGGCUAAUACCGCAUAAUAUCUACGGAUUAAAGCAUUUAUGCGCUAAGGGAGGGGCCUGCGUCUGAUUAGCUAGUUGGUGAGGUAAAAAGCUCACCAAGGCGACGAUCAGUAGCUGGAUCGAGAGGUUGACCAGCCACACUGGGACUGAGAUACGGCCCAGACUCCUACGGGAGGCAGCAGUGAGGAAUCUUCCACAAUGGACGAAAGUCUGAUGGAGCAAUGCCGCGUGCAGGAUGACGGCCUUCGGGUUGUAAACUGCUUUUAUAUGGGAAGAUUAUGACGGUACCAUAUGAAUAAGGACCGGCUAACUACGUG